UGUGUGUGGACUGGAGAACUUGAAGAUUGUUUUUUUCCUCUCCUUUUUUUUUUUUCCCCUCCGGUGCUGGUGGUUGUAAACUUGAUUGGCAUUGGCUGCGCCCACUGACCCCUGCGCCGAGUCCGCUGAAGAUUUAAGGUGGAUCCGAGAGGCUGCAGCUACAGGCGGAGUCUCGCGCUCGAGCUGGUUUUGGAGGAAAAAAAACAACCACCCCAAACCGGGCGCCCGCCGUGUUUUUACGCAUCCCCUGCGGUACCAGCCCCCGCGCGCCCCGCCCGCCGCGCGCUUCCUCCGCCCCCGCCCGCUUCUUCCCCAUUGGCCGCUGAGUGCAGUUUGAAUUUUUUUUUUCUGGGAUGCUUGUUUUCUUGUGAAAAAUACAGUUCUCCAGAUCGUGUGCCAAAACCGCUGCAGCGGCCCCAGGUGAGGUGUUUAGCUGGUUUUGUGGAAGCGGGAAGGAAGAGGAUAGGUGGAGCUUCUGUUCCAAAAAUUUCCCCCAAAGUGCGGUUGACAGCGUACAGACGGGUGGGGUGCGUGGGGCCGCCGUCACCAACCGGGAGACGCUUCGGCGGGGCCAGGGAUGUAGUAUAAACGUUAAUGGAUGUCCAGGGUGCGCAUUUCGCCGGCCGCGGGGCCGGAGAUACUGGGGAGGCGCCGGCAGGAGCUCCAGGCGAGGAUGCACCUUCCCCUGCGUGGAAAGAGUAUUUUUAUGGAAGGAGAAGGCUGAAACAAAACCCAAAGAAGGAAUGAUUUUGAAAGUGCCUUUGACUAGUGGAUCUGAAAGUUAAUUCUUUUGAUGAAAGAGGAAGGGAGAGGGAGAGAGAGAUAGAAACAUCAAUAAUGAGAAGGAAUCAUUAAUCACCUGCCGCCUACACGUCCCCACCCUGAGGAUCAAGCCCGAAACCCAGACAGGACGGCGGUAAGAGAAGACACGAACAAAUGAAAAGGCUGAGUUUUCCCCAGCUUCGUUGACCAGAGAAGCAAGGAGUUUGCGUGUGUGGAAGCCAAGACUACCUUUCAAGUUCAGGGUAAAAUCUCUCUCAUUCAAACCGUGUAAUCUUUGGCUUACCGGCAUCACCUUACUUUGCCCUUAGAAAUCCCCCGAAUCAGCCUCUUAAAGCAAGUACAGUGACCUUUCUCGACACGUCUCGUCCAUUCCUGUGUUUAAUGCAUGUAUAUUAGCCAAUAAUCGGAGUCUCUGAAAUCAUCGCUUGAUUCUGGUUUUUCCUUCAAGUUCUUUAUUCCCUUAAAGCUUCAAGCAGAAUUUAUUAUAUGAUUAAUAUGAAACGUCAGCGUAUAUGAUGGAGUAAAUGGUGUUAGGUUAGAACCACACAUACAUAAUGCCUUUUAUGUACUGUGAUUUUACACUUGGAUUCAGUAGUUCCUUUCUACAAAUUUACUUUUGGGAAAUGGUCAGAUAUGUGACUAAAGAUGUAUUUACCAGCAUGAUCAUUGUGAAGUUACAUAUUAGACUUUAAAAAGAAACAAAAUAAAUAACCGAACAACAUCCCCUUAGAUAUAGGAUUAAAGGAUUGAUUAUGUGGUUGCAACCAUUAAAACAUCCAGGUAGCUUUAUUUAUAUUAAUAUAAAAGUUGUCCAUAAUAUUAAACCAGGUAUAGAACAAUAUUUAUGGUA